rnacentral:rRNA from 1 species
GGAUUAGAUACCCUGGUAGUCCACGCCGUAAACGAUGAUCACUCGCUGUUGGCAACACAUAGUCAGCGGCCAAGCGAAAGCAUUAAGUGAUCCACCUGGGGAGUACGCCGGCAACGGUGAAACUCAAAGGAAUUGACGGGGGCCCGCACAAGCGGUGGAACAUGUGGUUUAAUUCGAUGAUACGCGAGGAACCUUACCUGGGCUUAAAUGUAUAGUGCAUGAGUGGGAAACCAUUCUUUUCUUCGGAACUCUUUACAAGGUGCUGCAUGGUUGUCGUCAGCUCGUGUCG